rnacentral:rRNA from 1 species
GCCUAACACAUGCAAGUCGAACGAAGCAUUAAGAUGAAGUUUCGGAUGGAAUCUUGAUUGACUGAGUGGCGGACGGGUGAGUAACGCGUGGAUAACCUGCCUCACACUGGGGGAUAACAGUUAGAAAUGACUGCUAAUACCGCAUAAGCGCACAGUGCCGCAUGGCAGUGUGUGAAAAACUCCGGUGGUGUGAGAUGGAUCCGCGUCUGAUUAGCCAGUUGGCGGGGUAACGGCCCACCAAAGCGACGAUCAGUAGCCGACCUGAGAGGGUGACCGGCCACAUUGGGACUGAGACACGGCCCAAACUCCUACGGGAGGCAGCAGUGGGGAAUAUUGCACAAUGGGCGAAAGCCUGAUGCAGCGACGCCGCGUGAGUGAAGAAGUAUUUCGGUAUGUAAAGCUCUAUCAGCAGGGAAGAAAAUGACGGUACCUGACUAAGAAGCCCCGGCUAACUACGUGCCAGCAGCCGCGGUAAUACGUAGGGGGCAAGCGUUAUCCGGAUUUACUGGGUGUAAAGGGAGCGUAGACGGCGAAGCAAGUCUGAAGUGAAAACCCAGGGCUCAACCCUGGGACUGCUUUGGAAACUGUUUUGCUAGAGUGUCGGAGAGGUAAGUGGAAUUCCUAGUGUAGCGGUGAAAUGCGUAGAUAUUAGGAGGAACACCAGCGGCGAAGGCGGCUUACUGGACGAUAACUGACGUUGAGGCUCGA